rnacentral:rRNA from 1 species
UACGUAGGGUGCGAGCGUUAAUCGGAAUUACUGGGCGUAAAGUGUGCGCAGCGGCCGCGCAAGUCGAGUGUGAAAGCCCCGAGCUUAACUUGGGAAUUGCGCUCGAAACUACGUGGCUGGAGUGUGGCAGAGGAAGGUGGAAUUCCACGUGUAGCGGUGAAAUGCGUAGAGAUGUGGAGGAACACCGAUGGCGAAGGCAGC